AGGACGACUGUGUGGCUUAAAUCGAAACUCGAUUCAUCAAACAUCACAAGCAUCAAAAGGAACUUUUCACAAACGAUACGGACCGGCCAGAUGACGAUGAAAUAACGGGAACGGCUCAUACAUUCCGCCAAGCUGCAUGAGUUUGAAUGCUGUUUAGUACGCUCGGUGAUAUAUGAGAGCUCGUAUUCUCCGCUUCCAGACAUAUAGACCUUCAUAACACGUCAUCUCCCGUGACGAGUUUUCGCCGCCAUUUUGGAUAUCUACUACAUGUAAUGGAUGAGAUGGACCCAGGAUGUAACGAUACGCCGGACGCACGACUGAGCGGGAAUGAGGGACCAGAUGAAUAUCAUCAGCUCUCCCAAAGCCAAGAUGAUAAGACGGAGCCAGUGGCUAUGGAGACAGAUGAGAAUGCCGCGCACUCAUCACGUCAGAACAGCCAACGAGGU